rnacentral:lncRNA from 1 species
GAAGACUUGGUGGGGGGCAGUGUCCUCAGAUGCUGGGAAAGGGAAGACCAAGGGAGAGUGGAAAGGAGCUGCAUUGUGUAGGGAGGGGGUCUUGAAUGACAGGCCCAGGAAAUAGCACUUGAUCUUGCAGGAGGAUGAUGGGAAGCAUUGAGGGUUUGUGCAGAGCCAGCAGGAGCGCCCGCUGGGAGCGGACUGUUUAGAACCUUGGACAUGUGGAGAAAGCUGAUGCCGCAUAACCCUGUGUGCCUCUCCUCCCUAAGUUAGGCUCUGCCCAGCAGAGGAAGCUCUUGGGCAGAAAGGCGGAGGAUCUGACUCCCACGGGCUCCAGGGUCCUCCUGGGUGGAUGUCCCUCCGUCCUGUCUUGCCACUCUCUGUGCCAUCCUCCAGGACAAAGGAGGCUCGUAUGGGCAACUGGAACCCGGCUGGAGUGUGCAGCUGGCCCCCUCACUUCCAGCCCGCAGGCUGCCGCGGG